rnacentral:lncRNA from 1 species
UCUAAGCAAUAGUCGUGUGCAUUUCUUUCCCCUCAUCUGGGCAGAUGUCAUUCACUGCUUGCUUUACAGUAAUUUCACUGUACCUGGAGAAAUCUGGGCUGGGUGCUAAAAGGACAAGUGAAGCUAUCCACCUAGCUUUGAGCUGAUAGGCCCUACAGUCUUGGAAAUGAAAUCACUAGAAACCCUCCAAAAGAGAAACUGAAUCCCGGAGACAAGGAAUGAUGAGGAGAAAGUAGGGAAAUGGAAUUGGCCAGCAUUGCAAGGUCCAUUUCUAAGAGAAGUUUAUAUACUGACUUUCCUUCUGUUUCUUCAACAAAAAAACCAGCAAGGGCCUUGGAAAAGGAAAGAGAUAAAUGGAACAGAGCCCCUGUGAAGUUAUGGACAUAAGAAGCAGGCAUUUGCAUUGCUGUUCUGUGAGACAGAAGCAUCUAAUAAAAUACCAAGAUGGCCCCA